rnacentral:rRNA from 1 species
UACGGGGGGGGGCAAGCGUUGUUCGGAAUUACUGGGCGUAAAGGGCUCGUAGGUGGCCAACUAAGUCGGACGUGAAAUCCCUCGGCUUAACCUGGGAACUGCGUCCGAUACUGGAUGGCUUGAAUCCGGGAGAGGGAUGCAGAAUUCCAGGUGUAGCGGUGAAAUGCGUAGAUAUCUGGAGGAACACCAAUAGCGAAGGCAGCUCGCUGGGACGGU